UACAGAGGUCCCGAGCGUUGUUCGGAUUCAUUGGGACGUAAGGUGCGUAGGCGGCGGGCAAGUCUGAUGUGGAAAUCCUGGGCUCAACCCUGGAACUGCAUUGGAUACUGCCUUGCUAGAGUACUGGAGAGGAACUGGAAUUUACGGUGUAGCAGUGAAAUGCGUAGAGAUCGUAAGGAAGACCAGUGGCGAAGGCGGGUCUCGUGGACAGUUCCUGACGCUGGAGGCACGGAAGGUCAGGGAGCAAACGGG
rnacentral:rRNA from 1 species